GGCUAAGAGGACUCGCACAUGGAAUUUAACAGCAACAUUUGGAGAGUCAUCCGCUGACUAAAUAGGCCUCUGGAGUUUGGAAGGAUUUCUCUUUAUUUUUUCCUGUUGGCAAGAUAUAAUUUGAAACUCAACUGGCAUAUCAGAAGAAACCAAGAGUCCAAGGUUAGUCUAGAAAGAUCUGGAUCUGUCAAUACUCAUAGAUGGAUUGUUACCAGAUGGCAAAAGUUCACCAGAAGAAAAUGUAAGCUACUCCCAGGAUAAAGGCAGUUGAGUGUGGUGGCAAGGUAAUGUGCUAAAUCAAAGUGGUAAUCUAAUUCUGAAGAAGUUAUCAACAGUGAACACAGGAAGAUGAUGCCAAAGAGUUAAGUAUACAGACAGAUUCCUCACCAGCUUUGAGGACUAUCUCUAGUACAUGUUGAGUGUGACAAUUGAUAUUCUUCGGUACAGAAGAAGCCGUUGCCAUCUGUCGUGUGACUGCUCUGAGGAUAAUGAGAACCCUCGGACAUGUGGGUUGGAAAGAAAUGACUUCAUUCCAAGGAAAAUAAAUCUAAAUAAUACAAAUGUGGUGGGAGUGUU
rnacentral:lncRNA from 1 species